AUACGUAGGGGGCGAGCGUUGUCCGGAAUGAUUGGGCGUAAAGGGCGCGUAGGCGGCCCGGUAAGUCUGGAGUGAAAGUCCUGCUUUUAAGGUGGGAAUUGCUUUGGAUACUGUCGGGCUUGAGUGCAGGAGAGGUAAGUGGAAUUCCCAGUGUAGCGGUGAAAUGCGUAGAGAUUGGGAGGAACACCAGUGGCGAAGGCGACUUACUGGACAGUAACUGACGCUGAUGCGCGAAUGUGUGGGGAGCAAACGGGAUUAGAUACCCCGGUAGUCCUGGCAGUAAACGAUGUAUGCUGGGUGUGAGACUAGCGAUAGUUUCGUGCCGAAGUUAACGCGAUAAGCAUACCGCCUGGCGAGUUCGGUCGCAAGAUUGAUACUUAAAGGAAUUGACGGGG
rnacentral:rRNA from 1 species